UUUAUAAAAAAGCAUUACUAAGUAAUCCACUUCUCUAUGAUGCUCUUGAAUGCUGCAGGCCUGCUUCAGAUGAAAGAUAUGUGUAUAUGAUAUGGGUAGAUAAAAAAAAAAAAAAUCACUUCCUGGCUCCUAUCCUGACCCAGAUUUUUUUCACUUGAUUUCAAUUUGUUGAAGUGAAGUUGAUUUCUAGAUAUGAAAAGAAAUAGUGUGGGGAUGCUGGCAGGGAGACGUUCCCAUUCAGAUACAGAUUAGUCGUGUUUAUGAUUGUGGAUAGUCAUUUACAUCGCUGAUAAAACCUGAAAUCUUUCCCACAGUCCAACCAAAUAGAUGGUGGCUUUAAGUACUCAUAAUAAUGACGCUGGUUUGUAAUGGUAGCAAAAGAAAAAUGAUGCUUGAGAAGAUUGUAGAGAAUUCAUCUUCCAGUGACAUGUUAUUGCUAUAAACCGUCAGGCUCGCAUAUGAUGACAUGCAAUCAUGUCCGAUUAAUAAGUAGUCUUUACAAAGUCCAUCGCUGUAUGUAGAGCUACUGAUGCAUUCUAUAGAAGCAGGUGGUGUAAGUAAAUGUAUGCUAAUGCAGCCAAAUGUAUGCUAUUCUUCUAGAGGGACAAAUUUUGCUUAGUCAUUCUGCUCUGCAUUUGCCUCUGUACAAACAAAACAAUGGGCAUCAAUUGUACAUUUUUUAGUAAAGUUGUGUGUACAUUUUCAUAGGCCAAGCCUUACAAAAAUUCCUGCCAGAUUUUAAAAAGUUUUGGUCAUGUUGAUAUACUUUGUUCUGACGUGUGUAUGGAGAUAAAUGUCAAUUACCCGUAAGCUGUGCUCACCACAGCUUAUUUGCAUUUGAUGACAUCCACAAAACUCCUUAAAAUAUCAAGCUCACAGAGACUGAAAGUGCAAAUUGAGCUCAAAAUAGCAAAGAAAAAGAAUUUCUCAGAGGAAGAAGUGGAAGUUAUUUUGACUCGUGUCUAUGCCAAUAAAAAUAUCAUUAACAGUGUAAUAUCACCUAAAAAGGACAAAAUCUGUGGGAAAUUGCAGAAAAGACAAAAUAGGUGCGAAUUAAGUGAGGUGAAAAGAAACUGGUAUGACAUCCAUCCAUCUAUCCAUUUUCCAUUCCACUUAUCUUACACAAGGUUGAGGGGGAACCUGGAGUCUAUACAAGGUAGCUCGGAGCACAAGGUGGGAGACACGCCGGAUGAGGUGACAACCAAUAGCAGGGCACAAUCGCAGACUCCAGACAAUUUGGAAAUGCUAAUCAGUCUACAAUGCAUGUCUUUCGACUGGUGGAGGAGACCGGAGUGCCUGGAAGAAAUUCCUGAAGCAUGGAGAGAACAAACUCCAUGACGGAGAUGGGUUUCGAACCCCCAACCCAGGAGGAGAUUAUGGGCACCAAGUACUUCACACAGGGAAACUGCUACUGUAUUAUAAGGACGUUUUCAGUGACUGUCAGCCAGAACUCUCUCACAC
ensembl:lncRNA